rnacentral:rRNA from 1 species
CGUGUAGGCGGUUGAAAAAGUCAGGUGUGAAAUUCUUCGGCUCAACCGAGGGACUGCGCCUGAAACUUUUCGACUGGAGUUCGGGAGGGGCAACUGGAAUUCCUGGUGUAACGGUGAAAUGUGUAGAUAUCAGGAGGAACACCGGUGGCGAAGGCGGGUUGCUGGACCGAAACUGACGCUGAGACGCGAAAGCGUGGGUAGCAAACA